GACGAACGCUGGCGGCGUGCUUAACACAUGCAAGUCGAACGGAAAGGCCCUGCUUUUGUGGGGUGCUCGAGUGGCGAACGGGUGAGUAACACGUGAGUAACCUGCCCUUGACUUUGGGAUAACUUCAGGAAACUGGGGCUAAUACCGGAUAGGAGCUCCUGCUGCAUGGUGGGGGUUGGAUAGUUUCGGCGUUUGGGGAUGGACUCGCGGCUUAUCAGCUUGUUGGUGGGGUACUGGCUUACCAAGGCUUUGACGGGUAGCCGGCCUGAGAGGGUGACCGGCCGCAUUGGGACUGAGAUACGGCCAAGACUCCUACGGGAGGCAGCAGUGGGGAAUAGUGCACAAGGGGCGGAGGCGUUAUGCAGCAACGCCGCGGGCGGGAUGACGGCCUUCGGGUUGUAAACCGCUUUCGCCUGAUACGAAGCGUGAGUGACGGUAAUGGGUAAAGAAGCACCGGCUAACUACGUG
rnacentral:rRNA from 1 species